GUCCACGCCGUAACGAUGGGUGCUAGAUGUUUCUGGUAUUGACCCCGGAGGCGUCGUAGCUAACGCGUUAAGCACCCGCCUGGGAGUACGGCCGCAAGGCUAAACUCAAAGGAAUUGACGGGGCCCGCACAAGCGGUGGAGCAUGUGGUUCAAUUCGACGCAACGCGAAGAACCUUACCUGGGUUGGAACCCUCCAGAACCCUUCAGAGAUGAGGGGUGCCUCUUUGAGGAGCUGGAUGUCCAGGUGCUGCAUGGCUGUCGU
rnacentral:rRNA from 1 species